rnacentral:rRNA from 1 species
CUACGGGAGGCUCCAGGCGCGGAACCUCCACAAUGUACGAAAGUGCGAUGGGGGGAUCCCCAGUGCUUAGCCAUUGGUUAAGCUUUUGUUGAGUGUAAGUAUCUCGACGGAUAAGUGGUGGGUAAUACUGGUGCCAGCCGCCGCGGUAACACCAGAGCCACAAGUGGCAGUCAUGUUUAUUGGGCCUAAAGCGUCCGUAACCGGUUGAGUAAAUCUUUUGUGAAACUGUUUGGCUUAACCAAACAACGGGCAAUAGACACUACUAAACUUGAGACCGGGAGGAGACAGAGGUAUUCUGAGGGGAGCGGUAAAAUGUGAUAAUCCUCGGAAGACGAUCGGUGGCGAAGGCGUCUGUCUAGAACGGUUCUGACGGUGAGGGACGAAGGCCGGGGGAGCAAAAUGGAUUAGAUACCCGGGUAGUC